rnacentral:rRNA from 1 species
UACGUAGGGUGCAAGCGUUAUCCGGAAUUAUUGGGCGUAAAGAGCUCGUAGGCGGUUUGUCACGUCUGCUGUGAAAACUGGAGGCUCAACCUCCAGCCUGCAGUGGGUACGGGCAGACUAGAGUGCGGUAGGGGAGAUUGGAAUUCCUGGUGUAGCGGUGGAAUGCGCAGAUAUCAGGAGGAACACCGAUGGCGAAGGCAGAUCCCUGGGCCGUAACUGACGCUGAGGAGCGAAAGCAUGGGGAGCGAACAGG